rnacentral:rRNA from 1 species
ACUAAGCGUACACGGUGGAUGCCCUGGCAGUCAGAGGCGAUGAAGGACGUGCUAAUCUGCGAUAAGCGUCGGUAAGGUGAUAUGAACCGUUAUAACCGGCGAUUUCCGAAUGGGGAAACCCAGUGUGUUUCGACACACUAUCAUUAACUGAAUCCAUAGGUUAAUGAGGCGAACCGGGGGAACUGAAACAUCUAAGUACCCCGAGGAAAAGAAAUCAACCGAGAUUCCCCCAGUAGCGGCGAGCGAACGGGGAGCAGCCCAGAGCCUGAAUCAGUGUGUGUGUUAGUGGAAGCGUCUGGAAAGGCGUGCGAUACAGGGUGAGAGCCCCGUACACAAAAAUGCACAUGCUGUGAGCUCGAUGAGUAGGGCGGGACACGUGGUAUCCUGUCUGAAUAUGGGGGGACCAUCCUCCAAGGCUAAAUACUCCUGACUGACCGAUAGUGAACCAGUACCGUGAGGGAAAGGCGAAAAGAACCCCGGCGAGGGAGUGAAAAAGAACCUGAAACCGUGUACGUACAAGCAGUGGGAGCACGCUUAGGCGUGUGACUGCGUACCUUUUGUAUAAUGGGUCAGCGACUUAUAUUCUGUAGCAAGGUUAACCGAAUAGGGGAGCCGAAGGGAAACCGAGUCUUAACUGGGCGUUAAGUUGCAGGGUAUAGACCCGAAACCCGGUGAUCUAGCCAUGGGCAGGUUGAAGGUUGGGUAACACUAACUGGAGGACCGAACCGACUAAUGUUGAAAAAUUAGCGGAUGACUUGUGGCUGGGGGUGAAAGGCCAAUCAAACCGGGAGAUAGCUGGUUCUCCCCGAAAGCUAUUUAGGUAGCGCCUCGUGAAUUCAUCUCCGGGGGUAGAGCACUGUUUCGGCAAGGGGGUCAUCCCGACUUACCAACCCGAUGCAAACUGCGAAUACCGGAGAAUGUUAUCACGGGAGACACACGGCGGGUGCUAACGUCCGUCGUGAAGAGGGAAACAACCCAGACCGCCAGCUAAGGUCCCAAAGUCAUGGUUAAGUGGGAAACGAUGUGGGAAGGCCCAGACAGCCAGGAUGUUGGCUUAGAAGCAGCCAUCAUUUAAAGAAAGCGUAAUAGCUCACUGGUCGAGUCGGCCUGCGCGGAAGAUGUAACGGGGCUAAACCAUGCACCGAAGCUGCGGCAGCGACACUAUGUGUUGUUGGGUAGGGGAGCGUUCUGUAAGCCUGUGAAGGUGUACUGUGAGGUAUGCUGGAGGUAUCAGAAGUGCGAAUGCUGACAUAAGUAACGAUAAAGCGGGUGAAAAGCCCGCUCGCCGGAAGACCAAGGGUUCCUGUCCAACGUUAAUCGGGGCAGGGUGAGUCGACCCCUAAGGCGAGGCCGAAAGGCGUAGUCGAUGGGAAACAGGUUAAUAUUCCUGUACUUGGUGUUACUGCGAAGGGGGGACGGAGAAGGCUAUGUUGGCCGGGCGACGGUUGUCCCGGUUUAAGCGUGUAGGCUGGUUUUCCAGGCAAAUCCGGAAAAUCAAGGCUGAGGCGUGAUGACGAGGCACUACGGUGCUGAAGCAACAAAUGCCCUGCUUCCAGGAAAAGCCUCUAAGCAUCAGGUAACAUCAAAUCGUACCCCAAACCGACACAGGUGGUCAGGUAGAGAAUACCAAGGCGCUUGAGAGAACUCGGGUGAAGGAACUAGGCAAAAUGGUGCCGUAACUUCGGGAGAAGGCACGCUGAUAUGUAGGUGAAGUCCCUCGCGGAUGGAGCUGAAAUCAGUCGAAGAUACCAGCUGGCUGCAACUGUUUAUUAAAAACACAGCACUGUGCAAACACGAAAGUGGACGUAUACGGUGUGACGCCUGCCCGGUGCCGGAAGGUUAAUUGAUGGGGUUAGCGCAAGCGAAGCUCUUGAUCGAAGCCCCGGUAAACGGCGGCCGUAACUAUAACGGUCCUAAGGUAGCGAAAUUCCUUGUCGGGUAAGUUCCGACCUGCACGAAUGGCGUAAUGAUGGCCAGGCUGUCUCCACCCGAGACUCAGUGAAAUUGAACUCGCUGUGAAGAUGCAGUGUACCCGCGGCAAGACGGAAAGACCCCGUGAACCUUUACUAUAGCUUGACACUGAACAUUGAGCCUUGAUGUGUAGGAUAGGUGGGAGGCUUUGAAGUGUGGACGCCAGUCUGCAUGGAGCCGGCCUUGAAAUACCACCCUUUAAUGUUUGAUGUUCUAACGUUGACCCGUGAUCCGGGUUGCGGACAGUGUCUGGUGGGUAGUUUGACUGGGGCGGUCUCCUCCUAAAGAGUAACGGAGGAGCACGAAGGUUGGCUAAUCCUGGUCGGACAUCAGGAGGUUAGUGCAAUGGCAUAAGCCAGCUUGACUGCGAGCGUGACGGCGCGAGCAGGUGCGAAAGCAGGUCAUAGUGAUCCGGUGGUUCUGAAUGGAAGGGCCAUCGCUCAACGGAUAAAAGGUACUCCGGGGAUAACAGGCUGAUACCGCCCAAGAGUUCAUAUCGACGGCGGUGUUUGGCACCUCGAUGUCGGCUCAUCACAUCCUGGGGCUGAAGUAGGUCCCAAGGGUAUGGCUGUUCGCCAUUUAAAGUGGUACGCGAGCUGGGUUUAGAACGUCGUGAGACAGUUCGGUCCCUAUCUGCCGUGGGCGCUGGAGAACUGAGGGGGGCUGCUCCUAGUACGAGAGGACCGGAGUGGACGCAUCACUGGUGUUCGGGUUGUCAUGCCAAUGGCACUGCCCGGUAGCUAAAUGCGGAAGAGAUAAGUGCUGAAAGCAUCUAAGCACGAAACUUGCCCCGAGAUGAGUUCUCCCUGACUCCUUGAGAGUCCUGAAGGAACGUUGAAGACGACGACGUUGAUAGGCCGGGUGUGUAAGCGCAGCGAUGCGUUGAGCUAACCGGUACUAAUGAACCGUGAGGCUUAACC